CACGUAGGGGACGAGCGUUGUCCGGAAUCACUGGGCGUAAAGGGCGCGUAGGUGGCGACCCAAGUCUGUGGUGAAAGCUCGCCGCUUAACGGCGAGUCGGCCACGGAUACUGGGUGGCUCGAGCACUGUAGGGGCAGAUGGAAUUCCGGGUGUAGCGGUGGAAUGCGUAGAGAUCCGGAAGAACACCGGUGGCGAAGGCGGUCUGCUGGGCAGUAGCUGACACUGAGGCGCGACAGCGUGGGGAGCAAACAGG
rnacentral:rRNA from 1 species